rnacentral:rRNA from 1 species
CACGUAGGGGGCGAGCGUUGUCCGGAUUUAUUGGGCGUAAAGAGCUCGUAGGCGGUUUCGUAAGUCGGGUGUGAAAACCCCAGGCUCAACCUGGAGACGCCACCCGAGACUGCGAUGACUAGAGUCCGGUAGGGGAGCGUGGAAUUCCUGGUGUAGCGGUGAAAUGCGCAGAUAUCAGGAGGAACACCAACGGCGAAGGCAGCGCUCUGGGCCGGUACUGACGCUGAGGAGCGAAAGCGUGGGUAGCGAACAGG